AAAAGUUACUUUCCGAUAAUUGACAAAGCACAGAGAGAGCAUUGGGUUGGAAUGUGUCUGUGUAUGGGCAGCCACAUGACGUUAUUGUCUCGUGGAAAGCACGGGUUCUUUGUUUAUUUUUUGAUUUGUUGUUGACAAAGAAGGCCAGGUAGUUCAAGUGAAAAAAUGGAUCAAUGGAACACAAGAAAUGACUACGCUCAAUCUUUCGUUGCUGCAACAACCAAUAUGGUUCCUUCAAAUUCACUUCAUUCAUUCCCACCUCGCUCUUCUACUCGUCUUCAGAACUCAGCUCUUGAACCCAGGCAGAGGCAAGAAGUGGAAGUGAAAAAUCCAAUUGCUGUUGCAAAAAAAGUUCAAAAGGCAGACCGUGAAAAAUUGAGGAGGGAUAAUCUUAAUGAGCAGUUUCUUGAAUUGGGUACCACACUAGACCCAGAUAGGCCAAAGAAUGACAAGGCAACCAUUUUGACAGACACAAUUCAAGUGCUGAAGGAUCUAACAGCUGAAGUGAACAGGUUAAAGGCUGAGUGUGCGACACUCUCAGAAGAAACCCAUGAGCUAAUGCAGGAAAAAAAUGAGCUCAUGGAAGAGAAGGCAUCUUUGAAGGCUGAUACUGAAAAUUUAAAUGCCCAGUAUCAUCAAAGGACAAGGGCUAUGUUCCCAUGGGCUGCUGUUGAUCCUUCUGUUGUAAUUCCUCCUUAUUCUUAUCCGGUUCCUGUACCUGUCCCUCCAGGCCCAAUUUCCAUGCACCCGUCAUUGCAGCCAUUUGUCUUCUUUGGAAACCAGAAUCCCGGUGCCAUUGCUAGUCCUUGUUCAACAUUUAUUCCAUACCCAACUGCAAAUCACCCAAAUGAUCAGCCAGCUGCUCAGUAUGCUUCUGGUUCCCAAUUUUCAAGUAAACAGGAUUCCAGAACCAAGUCAACAGAUCACCAGGGGGGCAGAAAUAAAGAAAGAUGCAACGAUUCUUCUGAUGUUGCAACUGACCUUGAACUUAAAAUGCCUGGAUCAUCAGCACAACAGGAUAUAUCAUCUGGAGAAAAGAAAGGCAAGCAAUGUCAAAGAAAGGAAAGAAUUAUCACAAAUGUUAGCUCCUCGUGCUCGUCAUCUUCAGGGAUGCUCCUCUAACAGCAUGGGAGAUGUCCCAAAACCUAAUAACUGAGGUUGCCAGUUGUUCGCGCCUUCGGUGCUUUCUAAGUGCUGACUGUUAAGAUAUUAUGUGUUUCUUGUGACACUUGGAUAAUAAUUUCCUCGAUUUGAGCAGUAGCCUGACAAGCAUGAGAUCAUUUCUAACAGCUUCAACAUGGAAGCAGCAUGCUUUAUGGUUAUAGUGGAGUUUUGGGGUAACAACCUGGUUAUCUGCGGCAACAGAAGGACCUUGAAGAGGGUGCACCGUACUCCAUUUUACUUAGUCUACUUCUCUAGAAUUCUGGUCUGGUUCUUGACUAACUGACAUAAAGAUUAAGGCAGCAUGUAUCUAGGUUAGUAGGUUGUUGCAAUCAUUUCAAAAGGAAGGUUUCAAGCGUCUCGAUAGAAAGAAAAGUGAAAAGACUGGAGUCUCACAUUCGACAAUCUAUGAAAGAAGAGUGAAAUUCUCAGUUAAGCAUUCACCGCCUGCAAUAGUACGAAUAACAUAAUGUCGGGGGUGAAGCAACCUGCACUUGGUGAAUUUUCUUUCAUGACUGAUCUAGAUGCAUCUGGGUUUUACCAUUCAAAAGCCAAAGCCAGUGGUUGCUGAAGGGGAGCAAAGCGUGUGAAACGAUUACAAAAGAAAUCAUAAGCAAGUUUCAGCAAAUCAUAAAAUGAGAAAAGAGACAUGCAAUGGAGAAAGAAAGUACAGUUUUUUUUCUUUUUAUUUAGCCUAGCAAUCUCUCUUUAUAUCAUUAUAGCCAAGAGCUCAAAUUCUGAAAACAAUACUUUUCUGGAGGAAGCAUGUCGAAACUACUUUCAUCAGCUUAAGCAUAAUAUACGUAAUGCGUGGAUUUGUGCAUUCUGUUUA